GUGUCAGCAGCCGCGGUAAUACCGGCAGCCCGAGUGAUGGCCGAAAUUAUUGGGCCUAAAGCGUUCGUAGCUGGCCGGACAAGUCCGUUGGGAAAUCUGCUCGCUCAACGAGCAGGCGUCCAGCGGAAACUGUUCGGCUUGGGACCGGAAGACCUGAGGGGUACGUCCGGGGUAGGAGUGAAAUCCUGUAAUCCUGGACGGACCACCGGUGGCGAAAGCGCCUCAGGAAGACGGAUCCGACAGUGAGGGACGAAAGCUAGGGUCUCGAACCGGAUUAGAUACCCCCGUAGUCC
rnacentral:rRNA from 1 species